CCUACGGGAGGCAGCAGUGAGGAAUAUUGGUCAAUGGACGAGAGUCUGAACCAGCCAAGUAGCGUGAAGGAUGACUGCCCUAUGGGUUGUAAACUUCUUUUAUAUGGGAAUAAAAUGUUCCACGUGUGGGAUUUUGUAUGUACAAUAUGAAUAAGGAUAGGCUAACUCCGUGCCAGCAGCCGCGGUAAUACGGAGGAUCCGAGCGGUAUCCGGAUUUAUUGGGUUUAAGGGGAGCGUAGGUGGAUUGUUAAGUCAGUUGUGAAAGUUUGCGGCUCAACCGUAAAAUUGCAGUUGAAACUGGCAGUCUUGAGUACAGUAGAGGUGGGCGGAAUUCGUGGUGUAGCGGUGAAAUGCUUAGAUAUCACGAAGAACACCGAUUGCGAAGGCAGUUCACUGGACUGCAACUGACACUGAGGCUCGAAAGUGUGGGUAUCAAACAGGAUUAGAUACCCGGGUAGUC
rnacentral:rRNA from 1 species